UUCAUUGAAUCAUUUAAUUUUUAAAUUAUACUUAACCUUUUCUCUUUUUUUUUGCAGUUUUUGCAGUUAAGGUCAGCAGAGGAAAUUCAGGACUGGCCAGUUAAACCUGAAUUUCAAACAAGCAGCGGAUAAAUUAUUAGCCGGAGUAGAUCCUCUUUAGCAUGUUCUAUUGAGUAUAAAUUUAUCCCCCGUGUUCUGCCCGGUGGUUUUAUUUCAAUCUAGUCACCCGCUUUGCAGUUGAAAGCCUCCUCUGGGGGGUAGCUGACUCAGAACCCCGACAUCUAACAAAAAGGCAGCCGCAGGCGCCAUGCUCAACAGCCAGUCCCCUGAGUUCUGACCUCUGUGAAUGGCUGUGUGAUCACCUCAGGUGCAGACGGCUCUCUCUUCAGGUCAGCAGACGCUGCGCACCUACGCCCUGGGGUAUGCCGGGCACCGGGCAGAGAAGUACGUUCCCCUUCAUGCUUCAAGGCCCACCCCAGAUGUCACCUCCUCUGGGAAGCCAUCCUGACCUCCCUGGUGGUUCUGGAACACAUCUGUGUCUUCCUGCUCACCACCACCACCCAGCCCCCGUCAUGUGUGUGAUGCCCACUGUGCACCAGCCACGGCAGCCCCUGUGUUCAAUUCACGCUGCAGCAGCCUCAGCACUUAAAGCCGCAUCUGUGGCAGCGACGCAUUCUGAUACCAGUACCAAAGAAAUCCAGGCUCCUGGCGAAAAGUCAAGUAAAGGAGGCUAGAAAGUGAAAAGUCAAAGAUGGACCCCUCCUCCCCAUCCCCAACCUCCAGGCCUUCUUCCAGAUUUCUUCUACAUCCUUCCAACCCUUUUCAAAGUAUGUGUUUUCCUGCCUGCCAGUAAUUGCACAUAAAUGUAUAGUUAUACAUAUGGAAAUUAUGUAACCUUAAAACCCCAACAAUUUAGACCUCCACACCUUGCAUUGUUGCUUCCAAGUGUAGGCUGGGGAUCUUUUCAUAUCUUCACAGGCCAGCAUCCUGCCCUGUUGUUCCCAGCCUGCUGCUCUUAUAAAUAAUGCUGCAGGGAAAUCAAUUCCUAGAAGUGGAAUUGCUGGCUUAAUGGGGACGUGCAAUUAAAGUGUCAAUCUCUGUCACCCAGUUAUCUCUCAUUCAGGCUGUGCCGCUUUCCACAGUCUGUUUCUCUUCCCCCUUCCCACCACUGGCCCAUACCUUUGUCAACCUGACAGGUGGAAAACUGUAACUUCUUUUCAUCUGUAUUUUAAAAUGUAAGAGGCCAAGCUGUGCACCCCCACCCGGAUCUCUCCUCUGCUCUGUGUCUUCUGGCCUGUUCUUUCUACUGCAUCCUUGAUCUUCAGUUGAGUGAGUUCUAAGCGUUCUUUGUAGUUAAGGAAAUUAACACAAUGUCUCCCAUAUGACUGGACAUUUUGCCUUUUGACUAUGUAUUUUUGCCAUGAGGGACU